GAUGCCGGCAGCUGAGGCGUGUUUGUCUGGUACACACGAGCCAAUUUCUCCUGUUAGGGUGGACGACAUGCAAGCAGCCGCGAUGACGGACAGGCCGCUCUCGCACCACCAGACUCCCUUCAGGGUAGUUACCCACGGGCACGUACUUUUGCCGUUUAUUUUUACUUGUGAUUCCGCUCGUUGUGAACGUGGCUCGAUCCAUGUUGUGGCCCAAUUAAUAUUUUUGUUUUGUUUCGAUGGAUCGUCUUGGCUUGCUUUUGGCCUGAAGUUGUUGCCUUGCUUUUGGCACACCUGAUUCCACUACCUUUUGUUGUUGCUUGGACCAGUUUCUAUGUAAUGAACAUAUUUAUAUCAAUGUUGUGCUUCUGUUAUAAUCUUGCUA